AGAAGUCCUCCCUACCACGGGUGUUUUCCUGCAGAGGCACAGCAAGGCAUCCAACUCAUCCCUCAGCACCAAAGCAGUGGUUUUCUGCUGUUUAUUCCUUUGUGAAGCUGACAGGUCUGAAUAAUCUACUUUUAAAGUAAGUGUGCACGGAGUGCAGGAUCCUAUUGCAGAAAAUCCCAGAAAGCUGGCAGUGGGAUUGAUUGGCUUAUCUUUUUUUUGGCUGGCAGCUCUUCCUGCUCUCGUUAGUACAUGAAAGUCUAAUUGUGCUGGGCAGCUCUGUCCUGGCAAGCAACUUUGAAAUUAUAUGUGAAAUGGAACUAGAC